AACCAGAAGGCGCAAUGAAAGUGAAGGCACNNNNNNNGUGCUGAGGUGAGAGCCGUCGUGGACGGCACAUCAUCGACCGAUCCUAUCCGCUCCCUCGUGGUGCGGCGGGAUUCGAGUAAGAGUGUACCUGUUGCGACCCGAAAGAUGGUGAACUAUGCCUGAAUAGGGUGAAGCCAGAGGAAACUCUGGUGGAGGCCCGUAGCGAUUCUGACGUGCAAAUCGAUCGUCAAAUUUGGGUAUAGGGGCGAAAGACUAAUCGAACCAUCUAGUAGCUGGUUCCCUCCGAAGUUUCCCUCAGGAUAGCUGUAGCCCGAAGCAGUUUUAUCAGGUAAAGCGAAUGAUUAGAGGUAUCGGGGAAGAAACUUCCUCGACCUAUUCUCAAACUUUAAAUAGGUAAGAAGUCCGACUUGCUCAAUUUGAAGCCGGACACAGAAUGCUGGGUUACUAGUGGGCCAUUUUUGGUAAGCAGAACUGGCGAUGCGGGAUGAACCGAACGCCGAGUUAAGGUGCCAAAGUCGACNCUCAUCAGAUCCCACAAA
rnacentral:rRNA from 1 species